UACAGAGGGUGCGAGCGUUAAUCGGAAUUACUGGGCGUAAAGCGUGCGUAGACGGUAAUGUAAGUCAGAUGUGAAAGCCCCGGGCUCAACCUGGGAAUGGCCGUUGAAACUGGCGAACUGGAGUGUGGCAGAGGGGGGUGGAAUUCCUGGUGUAGCGGUGAAAUGCGCAGAUAUCAGGAGGAACACCAAUGGCGAAGGCAGCUCGCUGGGACGGUACUGACGCUGAGACGCGAAAGCGUGGGGAGCAAACAGG
rnacentral:rRNA from 1 species